rnacentral:rRNA from 1 species
AGAUUGAACGCUGGCGGCAUGCCUUACACAUGCAAGUCGAACGGCAGCACGGGAGCAAUCCUGGUGGCGAGUGGCGAACGGGUGAGUAAUACAUCGGAACGUGCCCAAUCGUGGGGGGAUAACGCAGCGAAAGCUGUGCUAAUACCGCAUAAGAUCUACGGAUGAAAGCAGGGGAUCGCAAGACCUUGCGCGAAUGGAGCGGCCGAUGGCAGAUUAGGUAGUUGGUGAGGUAAAGGCUCACCAAGCCUUCGAUCUGUAGCUGGUCUGAGAGGACGACCAGCCACACUGGGACUGAGACACGGCCCAGACUCCGUACGGGAGGCAGCAGUGGGGAAUAUUGGACAAUGGGCGCAAGCCUGAUCCAGCCAUACCGCGUGGUGAAGAAGGCCUUGGUGUAAAGUCCUUUGUUGGAAAGAAUCCUGACCGGUUAAUAACCAGUAGGAUGACGUACCAAAGAUAAGCACCGGCUAACUCGUG